AGAGAGAGACAUGGCGCGCAUAUCAAUAAGCGGAGGAAAAGAAACUAACAAGGAUUCCCCUAGUAACGGCGAGUGAAGCGGGAAGAGCUCAAAUUUGAAAUCUUAAAGGGUUUCCCUUUACGAAUUGUAGUUUAAAGAAGUGUUUUCUGUUGAGGUUUUGGUAAAAGUUCUUUGGAAUAGGACAUCAUAGAGGGUGAGAAUCCCGUAUUUGACCUUUACUUUCAACUUUGUGAUACACUCUCAAAGAGUCGGAUUGUUUGGGAAUGCAGUCCAAAAUGGGUGGUAAAUUUCAUCUAAAGCUAAAUAUUGGCGAGAGACCGAUAGCGAACAAGUACCGUGAGGGAAAGAUGAAAAGAACUUUGAAAAGAGAGUUAAACAGUACGUGAAAUUGUCAAAAGGGAAGCGUUUGACACCAGUGUUGUUUUUCUGAAAAUCAAUUAAAGAACUGUUUAUGCUAAGUUGUUUAGACUUUAUCAGCUAUCUGUUUAGUUUUGAGCUUUUCUUUAAUGCACUUUUCAGUUAACAAGUCAACAUCAAUUUCUUUUGCUGUAAAAAAGCUUGAGGAAGGUGGCUUGAGAUUCGUCUUAAGUGUUUAUAGCCUCUUGCCUAUGCAGUCGGAGAGAUUGAGGGUCUGCAGCGUAGAUCCUUCGGGGCUAAAUGCAUUUGUGCUAAGUUAUAGCAUUUUAUAGACAACUUGUUGACUAUGAUUUGUCUUGUAGCUUACUCGCUUAUGUUAUUUUACCUACGCUUAGGAUGUUGAGCGCAUGUCUCUCUCU
rnacentral:rRNA from 1 species